ACAGACAGACAGACAGACAGACAAACAACAAUCUAAAAAAGAUAUUUAAUUAUCAAGAGUACCUACUACCUAAGAGGGGGGUACGAUAUCUCUUCUUGUUUCUUCUUUUUUUUUUUUUUUUUGCUUUUCCUUUUGUACACCGUUCUAACUUUACAACCGCAAGAUAAUUACUUAUAAACUAAUUUUGUACCUUCAGAUAUGAUCACAAAAGGAAAAAAAGCCGUACUCAGACGAAUCUCAAGCAAGUAAGUACACACGUCGUUGCAGUCGUUGGAAACUACUGCGCGCAAACACUCGAGCAAGCAUUCAUCAACACUUUAACAACUUACUAGUAAAUGUGCUGCGCGCAAAGUGAGUGAACUGCUGUGUGGUAAAUUUAGUAUAACAGGCAUAGUAUUUGAAAAAUAAUGCUUUCAAAGCUGACGUAGUAGUAGAAAGAGACCUUUGAUUUUCUUAAAAAAAAAAA